rnacentral:rRNA from 1 species
AGAGUUUGAUCCUGGCUCAGGACGAACGCUGGCGGCGUGCCUAAUACAUGCAAGUCGAACGAGAGCGACCGGUGCUUGCACUGGUCAAUCUAGUGGCGAACGGGUGAGUAACACGUGGGUAACCUGCCCAUCAGAGGGGGAUAACAUUCGGAAACGGAUGCUAAAACCGCAUAGGUCUUCGAACCGCAUGGUUUGAAGAGGAAAAGAGGCGCAAGCUUCUGCUGAUGGAUGGACCCGCGGUGCAUUAGCUAGUUGGUGAGGUAACGGCUCACCAAGGCCGUGAUGCAUAGCCGACCUGAGAGGGUGAUCGGCCCCCAUUGGGACUGAGACCCGGCCCAAACUCCUACGGGAGGCAGCAGUAGGGAAUCUUCCGCAAUGGACGCAAGUCUGACGGAGCAACGCCGCGUGAGUGAAGAAGGUUUUCGGAUCGUAAAACUCUGUUGUUAGAGAAGAACAAGUGCUAGAGUAACUGUUAGCGCCUUGACGGUAUCUAACCAGAAAGCCACGGCUAACUACGUGCCAGCAGCCGCGGUAAUACGUAGGUGGCAAGCGUUGUCCGGAUUUAUUGGGCGUAAAGCGAGCGCAGGCGGUUCCUUAAGUCUGAUGUGAAAGCCCCCGGCUCAACCGGGGAGGGUCAUUGGAAACUGGGGAACUUGAGUGCAGAAGAGGAGAGUGGAAUUCCAUGUGUAGCGGUGAAAUGCGUAGAUAUAUGGAGGAACACCAGUGGCGAAGGCGACUCUCUGGUCUGUAACUGACGCUGAGGCACGAAAGCGUGGGUAGCAAACAGGAUUAGAUACCCUGGUAGUCCACGCCGUAAACG